UACGUAGGAGGCAAGCGUUGUCCGGAAUUACUGGGUGUAAAGCGCGUGUAGGCGGCAGGCCAAGUCUGUGGUGAAAUCGCCCGGCUCAACUGGGCGGGGUCCAUGGAAACUGGUCAGCUGGAGGACGGUAGAGGUGAGUGGAAUUCCCGGUGUAGCGGUGAAAUGCGUAGAGAUCGGGAGGAACACCAGUGGCGAAGGCGGCUACCUGGACCAGCACUGACACUGAGGCACGAAAGCGUGGGGAGCAAACAGG
rnacentral:rRNA from 1 species